rnacentral:lncRNA from 1 species
CAACGUCCGAGAACCUAACAUUUUUGGGUUCCGAUGGGAGUGUAUGGAUGAAGAGUCGUUGGAAACGGAGCGAUUAAUUCAUUGUGGUUUGAUCGCCCUCACUGGAAUGCCGAGAGACACUGGAUGAUGAUUUUAAUAUUGAUUUAAAGAUUGGGUCUGCUGGAUGAUCAGGAUAACUUCCUGACUCUGUGACUGAUCCUAUGAGUCUGCAAUGAGGUUGACGGUGUGAUAAGGGAGUAUAAGCUAAUUUGAAAAAUUGUUUAAACAGAAUAUGUUUUUUGUUUUUUUACAUGUGUUUUAGAGAUUUGCAUUAAGAAUAUUGGUAGUAGUAAUAAUUUGUCAUACAGAAGAUCAUUUGUUUGGAUUUCUUGAAUCAGAAAUUAACCGAACUGAAUUGUUGUUUUGAUCUGUCAUUUCUUGAGGUUAUGGUGGAGAUGGUAUCUAAAUGCAUGGGAAGAAUAAUUUUACCAAACGGUGUGGACCUCAAAACCCCCUCUAACCUGCUGAAGAAAUGGCAUUCACUACGGCCCUGUCUUGCACCACUUCUAUCGAGAGACCUGAGUCCAAGCCAGCAACUGGUGAACAGCAUCCAGUUGAAGUUAUCAACUGCCUUUUCUCUCUGGAGUGCAACAGAAGUCCACGUGGAGUGAGCAUGGAGAGAGAGAUCCGUCCCAAAACUUCUCUCAUAUUGCUGGUAUACUGGUUGGCGAAUGGACAAGACAUAAUGAGUUGUGGUGGGGUUCAGGUGAGACGUUGAAAUUGUGACAUUAUCAUGGGCCAUCCACUUUGAAGCUAUCUGAAGAAGAAGAAGAAAAAUGAAGAAAUGCCAGAAGAUUGAGUGCCGGAGAAGGGAGGGGUUUGGCCAACUGUGCCUGUAAUUGAUUUAGACUUGGAGGUUCACACUGCUAAAAGUAUAAUGAUUUAGGCAAAUAAUGCAUUGAGAUACUGAUAUGUAAUUAUAACCCUGAUGAGGAACUUAAUACUAGAAUUAUGAGAUUAAUAUAUUGUAUGGUUAAUAUAAAUGUACAUUCUGUCAGUAUUGAUGUAUGUUAAGUUGAGGGUUUUCAUUUUGAGUGAUAGAACCAAUGUGAAUCACUGAGCAAUGUCAUUCUGGAUUUUGGUUGGAUAGUUAAUUGGGUUUUGAUUAUGAUUUGGGAACUGAAUGAUUUCCCGUACCUAUUCCCUAUUCAUGACUACAUCGCUGAUGAGGACCCCAAUUCUGAGCAUAAGGACCCAGAUGUAUAGCUCAUGUUCCUGCUGAGUGUUCAAAGUGAUUACAUUUUUUUGGUUUCAUUUUCUGUUCCAGAUUGACUGUGUUUAGAUAGGAAAGGUCUAAAACUCAGCAACCCAAAGAAAGGUUGCUUACCAUGGAUGAAAUGUCAGGCACCAGAAAUAGGUACUUUGUUUGUUAAAAUGUAUGUUUACAAAUAAUCAUGUAAUGCUUAUACCCUUAAAUAUUUCCAGAAGAAGCUUAGCUUCUUGAGAGGGGAAUGUGAUAGAAAGAUGACAUAUUUACCUGAUUUGUUGGAUAUUUAACAAUUAUUUACUUAACAAACAGUAAGAUAUUUCUGUCCUGCUAAUGCUGUGUUUUAUGGUCUCCAGUCUAGCACCCUGCAGCUAAUCUGGGCGUAUGGUUUACUAGAGAUAGCUUGAGCUGAAAAUUGAUUGACUUGGUGAUACACUUUACAGCUGGAAUUCCAGUGACAGGAUGUGGGGUGGUUGUAACUGGGAUAGAGAGGAGUAGAACAAAGGCUUCAAUGGUUCUUAGACAUUCUGGCAUCUGGGAAAUUUGGCCAGGGUUGGGGGUUAAGAUAACACCAGGUGCCAAUAAAGACAGGAUGAGCCCAAGGUGGCCCUAAAGUAGUUAGUUCAGAUUGUUUUAAUAUUAUUCAUCUUUGUGUAAUUUAAAAUCGAUUAAUCAAUCAAUGUUCAUGCAGAAACAUGAAUGUUAAAACAAACUAUUCUAAAAAGCUACCUGCAACAAAGCAUGCUCGGAAAUAUGAUAAUGAGGCCACUCCCAUGUGUUUUUUUUCAAUCUGAGAGAGUUAAAUAUGCAGUGUGCUGUGUGUAGGGCCAUGGAUUUGUACUGUUAUGGCAAUUACACUGGCUCUGUUACAACAGGAAAACUCAAUCAAGUGCAGCUGAAGUAUUUGAAAGAAUGCAAAUACUAUUUGAACCCAAGUCUGGUUGUGUGUAUGUGUGAAGGAGGGUGGUAUGUGGGCUUUAGCCUUUCUAGUGUGCUGCAGAAUUAGGAUGCUGAAAAUAAAUAAUGAAG